rnacentral:rRNA from 1 species
UACGGAGGGUGCGAGCGUUAUCCGGAAUUACUGGGUUUAAAGGGUACGUAGGCGGCCAUGUAAGUCAGGAGUGAAAGUUUGCGGCUCAACCGUAAAAUUGCUUUUGAUACUGCAUGGCUGGAAUCAGGAUGAGGUCAGCGGAAUGUGGCAUGUAGCGGUGAAAUGCAUAGAUAUGCCAUAGAACACCAAUUGCGAAGGCAGCUGGCUAGACCUGUAUUGACGCUGAGGCACGAAAGCGUGGGGAGCGAACAGG